AUUGAACGCUGGCGGCAUGCCUUACACAUGCAAGUCGAACGGCAGCGGGGACUUCGGUCCGCCGGCGAGUGGCGAACGGGUGAGUAAUGUAUCGGAACGUACCUUUCAGUGGGGGAUAACGUAGCGAAAGUUACGCUAAUACCGCAUAUUCUCUGAGGAGGAAAGCAGGGGACCUUCGGGCCUGGUUCUGAUGGAGCGGCCGAUAUCAGAUUAGCUAGUUGGUGAGGUAAAGGCUCACCAAGGCGGCGAUCUGUAGCGGGUCUGAGAGGAUGAUCCGCCACACUGGGACUGAGACACGGCCCAGACUCCUACGGGAGGCAGCAGUGGGGAAUUUUGGACAAUGGGCGCAAGCCUGAUCCAGCCAUGCCGCGUGAGUGAAGAAGGCCUUCGGGUUGUAAAGCUCUUUCGGACGGGAAGAAAUUGGUGGGGCUAAUAUCCCCAUCGGAUGACGGUACCGUAAUAAGAAGCACCGGCUAACUACGUGCCAGCCGCCGCCGUAAAAC
rnacentral:rRNA from 1 species